AUUGAACGCUGGCGGCAGGCUUAACACAUGCAAGUCGAGCGGAGAUGAGGUGCUUGCACCUUAUCUUAGCGGCGGACGGGUGAGUAAUGCUUAGGAAUCUGCCUAUUAGUGGGGGACAACAUUCCGAAAGGAAUGCUAAUACCGCAUACGUCCUACGGGAGAAAGCAGGGGAUCUUCGGACCUUGCGCUAAUAGAUGAGCCUAAGUCGGAUUAGCUAGUUGGUGGGGUAAAGGCCUACCAAGGCGACGAUCUGUAGCGGGUCUGAGAGGAUGAUCCGCCACACUGGGACUGAGACACGGCCCAGACUCCUACGGGAGGCAGCAGUGGGGAAUAUUGGACAAUGGGGGGAACCCUGAUCCAGCCAUGCCGCGUGUGUGAAGAAGGCCUUAUGGUUGUAAAGCACUUUAAGCGAGGAGGAGGCUACUGAGACUAAUACUCUUGGAUAGUGGACGUUACUCGCAGAAUAAGCACCGGCUAACUCUGUGCCAGCCGCCGCGGUAAGAC
rnacentral:rRNA from 1 species